AGUGAACGCUGGCGGUAGGCCUAACCCAUGCAAGUCGAACGGCAGCACAGUAAGAGCUUGCUCUUACGGGUGGCGAGUGGCGGACGGGUGAGGAAUACAUCGGAAUCUACUUUUUCGUGGGGGAUAACGUAGGGAAACUUACGCUAAUACCGCAUACGACCUACGGGUGAAAGCAGGGGAUCUUCGGACCUUGCGCGAUUGAAUGAGCCGAUGUCGGAUUAGCUAGUUGGCGGGGUAAAGGCCCACCAAGGCGACGAUCCGUAGCUGGUCUGAGAGGAUGAUCAGCCACACUGCAACUGAGACACGGUCCAGACUCCUACGGGAGGCAGCAGUGGGGAAUAUUGGACAAUGGGCGCAAGCCUGAUCCAGCCAUACCGCGUGGGUGAAGAAGGCCUUCGGGUUGUAAAGCCCUUUUGUUGGGAAAGAAAAGCAGCAGGUUAAUACCCCGCUGUUCUGACGGUACCCAAAGAAUAAGCACCGGCUAACUUCGU
rnacentral:rRNA from 1 species